rnacentral:tRNA from 1 species
GGGCGAUUAGCUCAGCUGGGAGAGCAUCUGGUUUACACCCAGAGGGUCGGCGGUUCAAUCCCGUCAUCGCCCA